GCUAAAUAAGAGCGUAUGGGGAAUGCCUAGGCUCUCAGAGGCGAUGAAGGACGUGAUAAGCUGCGAAAAGCUGCGGGGAUUGGCACAUACAAAUUGAUCCGCAGAUAUCCGAAUGGGGCAACCCAGCAUGUUGAAGACAUGUUAUCCGCAAGGAGGCGAACCCGGAGAACUGAAACAUCUAAGUACCCGGAGGAGAAGAAAACAAAAGUGAUUCCGAUAGUAGCGGCGAGCGAAAUUGGAUUAGCCCAAACCAGUAUUGUUACGGCAAUGCUGGGGUUGUAGGACCACGAUAUUUGAACCAUAAUGAAUUAGAACGCUUUGGAAAGAGCGACCAAAGAGGGUGAUAGUCCCGUAUAAGUAAAGAUUGGUAAGAUAGUGGUAUCCUGAGUAGUGCGGGGCACGUGAAACCCUGUAUGAAUCAGUCGGGACCAUCCGAUAAGGCUAAAUACUCCUGAGAGACCGAUAGUGAACUAGUACCGUGAGGGAAAGGUGAAAAGAACCCUGAAUAAGGGAGUGAAAUAGAACCUGAAACCAUACGCUUACAAGCGGUCGGAGCAGACUUGAUCUGUGACGGCGUGCCUUUUGCAUAAUGAGCCUACGAGUUACCGUUGCUAGCAAGGUUAAGUACUUAAGGUACGGAUCCGUAGCGAAAGCGAGUCUGAAUAGGGCGCUAUAGUUAGUAGUGGUAGACGCGAAACCGUGUGAUCUACCCAUGGGCAGGGUGAAGCUGUGGUAACACACAGUGGAGGCCCGAACCGGUUGACGUUGAAAAGUCUUCGGAUGACCUGUGGGUAGGGGUGAAAGGCCAAUCAAACUCGGAAAUAGCUCGUACUCCCCGAAAUGCAUUUAGGUGCAGCGUUGAUUUAGUUUUAUAGAGGUAGAGCUACUGAUUGGAUGCGGGGGCUUCACCGCCUACCAAUUCCUGACAAACUCCGAAUGCUAUAAAAUGAUGAUCAGCAGUGAGGGCAUGGGUGCUAAGGUCCAUGUCCGAGAGGGAAAGAACCCAGACCAUCAGCUAAGGUCCCCAAAUGUAUGUUAAGUUGAAUAAACGAGGUUGAACUGCUUAGACAGCUAGGAUGUUGGCUUGGAAGCAGCCAUUCAUUUAAAGAGUGCGUAACAGCUCACUAGUCGAGCGGUUCGGCAUGGAUAAUAAUCGGGCAUAAACAUACUACCGAAGCUAUGGACUUGAAAAAGUGGUAGGGGAGCAUUGUAGUGUCGUCGAAGGUGUACUGCGAGGUAUGCUGGAGAAGCUACAAAAGAAAAUGUAGGCAUAAGUAACGAUAAUGCGGGCGAGAAACCCGCACACCGAAAGACUAAGGUUUCCUCAGCUAUGCUAAUCAGCUGAGGGUUAGUCGGGACCUAACACGAACCCGAAAGGGGUAGUGGAUGGACAACAGGUUAAUAUUCCUGUACCUGCUCACACUAAAAGUGACGGAGGCGAAAAGUUAGUGCGUACUGACGGAAUAGUACGUUGAAGCGAGUAGUAAUACCGCGAUAGUACACUGAGACUACGGUCAAGGUGAUAAUCUAGCAAAUCGACUUCCAAGAAAAGCGAGUGAAGCAGCCCGUACCCUAAACCGACACAGGUAGUUGGGAUGAGAAUUCUAAGGUGCUCGAGAGAUUCAUGGCUAAGGAACUAGGCAAAAUAGACGCGUAACUUCGGGAGAAGCGUCGCCCACAGCAAUGUGGGCCGCAGUGAAAAGGUCCAGGCGACUGUUUAUCAAAAACACAGGGCUCUGCUAAAUCGAAAGAUGACGUAUAGGGCCUGACACCUGCCCGGUGCUGGAAGGUUAAGUGGAGGGUUUAGAAGUUUACUUCGAAGAUCUCAAAUGAAGCCCCAGUAAACGGCGGCCGUAACAAUAACGGUCCUAAGGUAGCGAAAUUCCUUGUCGGGUAAGUUCCGACCUGCACGAAUGGCGUAACGACUUCCCCGCUGUCUCCAACAUCGACUCAGCGAAAUUGAAUUGCCUGUCAAGAUGCAGGCUUCCCGCGGUUAGACGGAAAGACCCCGUGCACCUUUACUACAGCUUCGCACUGGCAUCAGGAUUGUGAUGUGCAGGAUAGGUGGUAGGCUUUGAACCCGUGACGCCAGUCGCGGUGGAGCCUCCCUUGAGAUACCACCCUUCGCACUCUUGAUGUCUAACCGCGGUCCGUUAUCCGGAUCCGGGACCCUGCGUGGUGGGUAGUUUGACUGGGGCGGUCGCCUCCUAAAGAGUAACGGAGGCGCGCGAUGGUGGGCUCAGAGCGGUCGGAAAUCGCUCGUUGAGUGCAAUGGCAUAAGCCAGCCUGACUGUGAGACUGACAGGUCGAACAGAGUCGAAAGACGGCCAUAGUGAUCCGGUGGUCCCGCGUGGAAGGGCCAUCGCUCAACGGAUAAAAGGUACGCCGGGGAUAACAGGCUGAUGAUGCCCAAGAGUCCAUAUCGACGGCAUUGUUUGGCACCUCGAUGUCGGCUCAUCUCAUCCUGGGGCUGGAGCAGGUCCCAAGGGUACGGCUGUUCGCCGUUUAAAGAGGUACGUGAGCUGGGUUUAGAACGUCGUGAGACAGUUCGGUCCCUAUCUGCCGUGGGUGUUGGAUACUUGAGAGGAGCUGUCCCUAGUACGAGAGGACCGGGAUGGACGUACCUCUGGUGGACCUGUUGUUACGCCAGUAGCAUAGCAGGGUAGCUAAGUACGGAAAGGAUAACCGCUGAAAGCAUCUAAGCGGGAAGCCCCCCUCAAAACCAGGUAUCCCUA
rnacentral:rRNA from 1 species